CACUAAUGUACCAUAUUAUGUAACUUUCAGCUGUGCUAGAUGACCUUCCUGCAAGCAACAGAGGUGCUCAAAAGUUGGUGGAGAAAGUUUUCCUGCAGGAAGUGGAGAAACAUGUCCACAGACCUACUAACAGCACUGCAGCCGCACUUCCCACAUCCAAACAGCAACAAGAUCGGAAAUGCAAGAUAAUCAGAACUCCCAAGAGAUAUAUUAAAGCCCAGAAGCUGUUUGUGCAUCUCCUGAAGAGACAUGAACAGUGUAGAUACUACUACUUGGUGAAGUAUCACUGCCCAGUAAGCCUCACACCAGCUAUCUCAGACAAAGAUGUGGAGGGUAGUG